ACCGGUUUAGUUCAGCAGGCAGAUUGCCUGAUUGUAAAAUCAGGAUGGAAGCGGUUCAACUCCACUAACCGGUA
rnacentral:tRNA from 1 species